rnacentral:rRNA from 1 species
GAUCCUGGCUCAGAUUGAACGCUGGCGGCAUGCCUUACACAUGCAAGUCGAACGGUAACAGGUCUUCAGACGCUGACGAGUGGCGAACGGGUGAGUAAUACAUCGGAACGUGCCCAGUCGUGGGGGAUAACUACUCGAAAGAGUAGCUAAUACCGCAUACGAUCUGAGGAUGAAAGCGGGGGACCUUCGGGCCUCGCGCGAUUGGAGCGGCCGAUGGCAGAUUAGGUAGUUGGUGGGA